rnacentral:rRNA from 1 species
UACGGGGGGGGCAAGCGUUGUUCGGAAUUACUGGGCGUAAAGGGCUCGUAGGUGGCCAACUAAGUCAGACGUGAAAUCCCUCGGCUUAACCGGGGAACUGCGUCUGAUACUGGAUGGCUUGAGUUUGGGAGAGGGAUGCGGAAUUCCAGGUGUAGCGGUGAAAUGCGCAGAUAUCUGGGGGAAGGCCGGCGGCGAAGGCGCCAUUCUGGGCAGUUCCUGACACUGAGGCACGAAAGCGUGGGGAGCGAACAGG